UGCGCAACCCGUUCUUUUCCUACUUUGCCGACUUUCUUUAUCACGACCUACAACACGGCUUCAGGAAACAAACCAAACAGGUACCUGCCGCCGGAAGGAGCCGAACUCGAGGUGUCACGGUCCGUAAGGGCCGUGAGAGUGCAGGACGAUAGGUGGAUCCUUUCUGGACACAGCAGAGCAGAGCAGGGCAGGCGAGGCCAGGGAGCAAUGUCCCUUCGAGUCAUCCCCUUCCUAACGUAUACGUAAGAUUUAGAAAGAAGUUAUUGGAGGAUGUUAGAAGCAGACUAAAAAUACACUGUAACCCGUCACCCUUGACCAUGUGAUUAGCAACGCUCCACCUUCGACGUUAAGAAGGUAAAGUGUAUGUAAAUUGUAAUGCAAAUUCACAUAUGGCAGUCUCAACAUAAAUAAGCAGGCAAACA